CCUACGGGAGGCAGCAGUAAGGAAUAUUGGUCAAUGGACGAAAGUCUGAACCAGCCAUGCCGCGUGAAGGAUGAAGGUCCUCUGGAUUGUAAACUUCUUUUAUAGGGGACGAAAAAAGGGAAUUCUUUCUCACUUGACGGUACCCUAGGAAUAAGCACCGGCUAACUCCGUGCCAGCAGCCGCGGUAAUACGGAGGGUGCAAGCGUUAUCCGGAUUCACUGGGUUUAAAGGGAGCGUAGGUGGGCAGGUAAGUCAGUGGUGAAAUCUCCGGGCUUAACCCGGAAACUGCCAUUGAUACUAUCUGUCUUGAAUUAUCUGGAGGUAAGCGGAAUAUGUCAUGUAGCGGUGAAAUGCUUAGAUAUGACAUAGAACCCCCAUUGCGAAGGCAGCUUACUACGGAUAUAUUGACACUGAGGCUCGAAAGCGUGGGGAUCAAACAGGAUUAGAUACCCUGGUAGUCCACGCCCUAAACGAUGGAUACUCGACAUCAGCGAUACACUGUUGGUGUCUGAGCGAAAGCAUUAAGAUCCACCUGGAAGUACGACCGCAAGGUUGAAACUUAAGGAAUUGACGG
rnacentral:rRNA from 1 species